AAAAUGUAUGUCAUGUUUAUUAAAUGUUUAUAACUUGUAUUAAUUAUUAAUAGACUUAAUCCAAAAAAAGUUAAGAAAUGCAUUACCGCAUUACCAAAGACACUGUGUGCUUGUAGUUUAUGUUGUUACACAUUUCAUAUUCUGAAGCAAGAACAGGAUAGAACCAUUGUGUUCAGAAUAGAAUGCAGUGCUGGGAGUUAAAGAGAAACUUAUCAAUAUUUUGUCUAAAUGAUAUGAUGGAACGGGUUGUAUAGUUGUUUAUGUUUAUUGAACAUUUUACAAAGGUAACUAUAUUAUGGAAAUAAAAAAAACAUGUAUUACCAGAGAUGGAUUUGGGAAUUUUAUUCAAACCUUAGUUAGAACAGGACCUUAGUUAGAACAGACAGUCUGGCUUACUUUAAUUUAUCCCUGCAGAACUCUAUAGGAUAGAGGACUCUGCAAUCCACUGUACUUCCCUAGUGCCUCAUGAAGUGUGGUUAAGUGAAUUUGGGCUGAGUUAGUAAUCAUGUUGCCUUUCCGAAGCCUCCUGGUUCAUUAGAGUCUGUAAUCCAUCUUCUACAGUUAGGUGCUCAGUC